CGGAGAGGGAGCAUGAGAGACGGCUACCACGUCCAAGGACGGCAGCAGGCGCGAAAAUUACCGAAGCUCCAAACGAGGAGGUAGUGAUGAGACGUAACAUAAAAUAAGAUAAGGGUAAAGAACUUGUUAAUAAGCUGGAGGUCAAGUCUGGUGCCAGCAUCCGCGUUAAUACCAGACUCCAGGGGUGUCUAUGAUGAUUGCUGCCAUUAACCAGGUCCGUAAUCUAAUUUAUAUAAUUAUUUGUAAUAUGUUUUCUAAAAAGACGGAUAGAAGAAUUACUUACAUGAAAGGAAUAGUGAGGGCUUGGUUAAUCCAGCAGCGAGAGGUGAAAUUUGAUGACUUGCUUGGGAGAAACAGAGGCGAAAGCGCCAAUCAAGUGUAAAUCCGAUGAUCAAGGACGUAGGCUGGAGUAUCGAACACGAUUAGAUACCGUAGUAGUUCCAGCAGUAAACGAUGCCUACGCCGUUGAAUUUUAUUUAUUUUAAAUUUGGCGGAAGAGAAAUCAAGAGUAGGGCUUUGGGGAGAGUACACGCGCAAGCGAUAAAUUUAAAGGAAAUUGACGGAAGAACGCCACAAGGAGUGGAGUGUGCGGCUUAAUUUGUCUCAACGCGGGACAGCUUACCAAACCCGAAGAUCAUAAGAGUGAAUACACGAUAGAUCUAAGAGUGGUGCAUGGCCGUUAUCGACGAGUGAAGUGAUUUUAUGGUUAAAUCCGAUAAUUUGUGAGACCCUUUAAACAGGUAUGAAAAUACAGGAAGGAUAGGACAAGAACAGGUCAGUGAUGCCCUUAGAUGUUUCGGGCUGCACGCGCACUACAGUGGUUAUUAUAAUUUUCAUAUUUAAAAAAAAUAAAAAUAAUCGAGAGGGAUUGAGCCCUGUAAGGUGCCCAUGACCGAGGAAUUGCUAGUAAUCGUAGGCUCAGUAAGAUACGAUGAAUAAGUCCCUGUUCUUUGUACACACCGCCCGUCGUUAUCGAAGAUGGAGUUUUGCCCGAACGAGCUUUAUCGAGUGAGUGUAUGCUUCUAGAUGUAAUACAAGUCGUAACAAGGUAACC
rnacentral:rRNA from 1 species